rnacentral:tRNA from 1 species
AAUUAUUAAGCUAACAAGCAAGUAUUUUGAAAAUACUAGAUAAAAGAUAACAUCUUUUAAUAAUUU